UACGUAGGGCGCAAGCGUUGUCCGGAAUCAUUGGGCGUAAAGAGCUCGUAGGCGGCCUGUCGCGUCCGCUGUGAAAUCCCGGGGCUUAACCCCGGGCGUGCAGUGGAUACGGGCUGGCUGGAGGCAGGCAGGGGAGAACGGAAUUCCCGGUGUAGCGGUGAAAUGCGCAGAUAUCAGGAGGAACACCGGUGGCGAAGGCGGGACUCUGGGCCGAUACUGACGCUGAGGAGCGAAAGCGUGGGGAGCAAACAGG
rnacentral:rRNA from 1 species